CAACAACAUAGCGGUUCAGGUGCCCGCACAGCCAAUCAACGCUUGCGGGUUAAAAGGGAAGCCGGUGUGAAUCCGGCGCGGUCCCGCCACUGUAAACGGGUAAAUGCUCUUCAUGAAGUCACUGUCUGGAGCAGACGGGAAGGCGAAGAGCUCUGGCUCAGCGAAGCAGCCCGUAAGUCAGGAAACCUGCCUGAACAUGCAUUCGAUG
rnacentral:ncRNA from 1 species